rnacentral:rRNA from 1 species
UACGGAGGGAGCUAGCGUUGUUCGGAAUUACUGGGCGUAAAGCGCGCGUAGGCGGUUACUCAAGUCAGAGGUGAAAGCCCGGGGCUCAACCCCGGAACUGCCUUUGAAACUAGGUGACUAGAAUCUUGGAGAGGUCAGUGGAAUUCCGAGUGUAGAGGUGAAAUUCGUAGAUAUUCGGAAGAACAUCAGUGGCGAAGGCGACUGACUGGACAGUAUUGACGCUGAGGUGCGAAAGCGUGGGGAGCAAACA